CCACAACCUACCUGCCAGUUUGGUCACAGGUAUCUCCCAAGAUACACAAUCACCUGGAGUGGAAGCUUCAGGACAACAGGGCUGGGAACCUGCGUGUUUCAGAUAAGAUACCUCUUGGAUACCUCUUGAUUCACUCUUCUUCCUGCCACUGUGGUGAGGAUCAUUGAGUCUUUGACCAGCUUUAUGCAGUUGCAUGAAUACCCUUUAUGGAGGUUACCAAAUCCAGCAAAGUCAUCUUCCUACUAGAAAAAGACAGCAUCUCCUCAUCCUGCAUUCACUACAUGGUGGAACAAUGGGUGCUCAUGAGAGAUCGGGGGAAGAAAAGCAAAGAACCUGGUGUUGCCUCUUUGGGCUGAAAUGGAAGCAUCUAAAAUGGUGGCUUGAGCAGCCCUGGAGGACCACAGCAUCUGAGUGACAACUGGAGAGAUGCCCAGCAACAGAAGGGAGGUUUGGGUUCCCCACUUUUCACCCAGCACCAAGUGGGAGAGGAAAAAAUGAAUUGUUAUUUAGGCCAGUAUUGUUCAGGCAUCUCUUGUUUCCAGAAGUCAAGUCAGUAUCAAAUGCAUCAACAAAGACAUCUGAGACACCUCGAUAACUUCCUUUUUCCAUUUUUGAAAGUUGUGAGGCUCUCAUACGCAUGUAUAAAAUAGGGUGCCACUUUCCAAAGUGUAAGAGGAUUUGGAGCAGAAAAUGGUUUCCUAAGUUUGUCUCUUGAACCAGUCAAUAAAUCUGACAGCUGUCCCUGAAUUAUAGCUAAAAUGUUGGAUCUGCAGAGCACAGCAUCAUUCCUCAGAAGGAACGCACAUGUCUCCUGGAAGCCCAAGGCUCGAAACUUUUCUCCGUGGGUUUUUGGUUGUGAAUCAGACUUGCUCUUUCCGUCAUAAACUGCAAUGAUGAGGCUAUAAGAGAAGUAGGAGGAAAGUGUUUUGUUAGAACAAACAGGGAGGGAGAGAGCUUGAACAAAGAGAAGGAAUCACUCCCCAAAGAGGCAAACUCAGUGAGCGGAAUUGAUGGAGACGAUUGAAGAAGCCAGGGGUUAUGAUAAUUGCAAAAUGUCUUGUAGUUGUUUCCAUAACAAACAAUUUUGCCAGAGAGGGCUCAGAGGCACUGUGCAGCUUGGAGGAAUCAACUCAAGGAGUCUGAGAGCCUUGGAAACUGCCAUCCUUCUUUCAAUGCCGGAGUGCAUGCUGGGAGGGAUCAAAAUGGAGCGGACACUGGAAGAAAACUGAUCCAAAUCCCAUUCAGGCAAUCCCAGGGGACGACUCUGUUUUCAAGGCUAGCUCAGAAAUUUUCAGGAGAAAGGCGUUCACUUGCU
rnacentral:lncRNA from 1 species